GACGAACGCUGGCGGCGUGCUUAACACAUGCAAGUCGAACGGAAAGGCCCUGCUUUUGUGGGGUGCUCGAGUGGCGAACGGGUGAGUAACACGUGAGUAACCUGCCCUUGACUUUGGGAUAACUUCAGGAAACUGGGGCUAAUACCGGAUAGGAGCUCCUUCUUCAUGGUGGGGGUUGGAAAGUUUCUGCGGUUGGGGAUGGACUCGCGGCUUAUCAGCUUGUUGGUGGGGUAGUGGCUUACCAAGGCUUUGACGGGUAGCCGGCCUGAGAGGGUGACCGGCCACAUUGGGACUGAGAUACGGCCCAGACUCCUACGGGAGGCAGCAGUGGGGAAUAUUGCACAAUGGGCGGAAGCCUGAUGCAGCAACGCCGCGUGAGGGAUGACGGACUUCGGGUUGUAAACCGCUUUCGGUUGGGACGAAGCGUGAGUGACGGUAAUGGGUAAAGAAGCACCGGCUAACUACGUG
rnacentral:rRNA from 1 species